GACUAUUGAUGCUUCAGUUUUGAAGUGGAUUCUGCACUCAAGAAAUGUACCAUUGAAGAAUGGGACUGGUAGGAAGGGAAAAAAACUAAAAGGAAACGCAUUUUCGAGUUGCACAUCAUGAUCAGGCACAGAGUCCAGAUACACUUGGAGUAGCAAGCAUCCAUCCUUGUGGAGACGCACAUGAACCAGGACUCUCUGCACCCACCCCUCUCAAGUUUUAUUUUCCGACGGCUGUAAUGUUCCAGGACACCUGCCAUCAUGGAGGGUUAUCCAGCACCUGGAGGAUACCUGCUACCUGGUGAAGGACUUUAGUACGAUGG
rnacentral:lncRNA from 1 species